rnacentral:lncRNA from 1 species
GUUUCACUUGGUUGUUGCUUUUGACUAGCACCUUAUUACUGUGAAUGCUUCUUUACAGAUCCUGGAAAAGAGAAAGAACUUAAAUCUCCAGCUGCCACAAAAGACAAAGAGCACACUAAAGAAAGAGAGGGAAAGAAUUCUACAGCUUUAAAAGAUAGAGAGUCUCCAAAAGGAAACAAUCCCAAGAAUCCAGAGGGAAGAAAGGAGAAAGAGCCUGGUAAAAGAAAAGAUGUGAAGCCUCCAGCAGUCUUAAAGGAAAAGGAGUCUUCAAAAGGAAAAGAACUGAAGACUUCAACUUUCAUUAAGGAAAAAGCUGUGGUGAAAAAAGAAGAGGAGAAGAAAGCUAUUGUAGAGAAACAUCAUGAACACAACGAGAAAACUAAGCAACAAAAGACAGCUCCCACAGAGAAAUCAGAGCAUGAAGCUGUCAAACAUGAAAAAGGUGUUCCACCAACAAAACCAGGUAGACAUCCAGAAUUUUUUGCAUUUAUUA